CUUAUACUCCCUCUGUCCCAAUUUUUUUGUCUUAGAUUUGUCUAGAUAUGAAUGUUUUGGUAUUUAUAUACAUUCAUUUCUAGACAAACCUCCUAAGACAAGAAUUUUGGGACGGAGGGAGUAGGAG
rfam:Hordeum vulgare subsp. vulgare, WGS project CAJW01000000 data, contig: morex_contig_1559410